GUUUUACAUUAUCACGUUUCAGACAUAUAUCUAUCAACCUAGUAGCAACCGGUCAUCUGUCGGGUCUGAAUUAAGCGUGGGACCAACGGUCUAUGAUUACAUUGAUACAGACUCUAAGUUUGAGAUACAACGACCAAAUGUCCGCCUCGGGCACCUCAACAAGUUUUAAAGAAUUAGAUGUUGUAAAUUUUUGGAUUAUUGUUGGUUCAUGAAGAUACUGAUGAAAAGGUUUCAACCGCCUAGAGAAUUUUCGGAACACUAUUUAUAGAGUUAUUUUAAUUAGAUUUUUUGAGAAAUAUAACUGGAUGUUUUAGGAUUGAUUACCAUACAGUAAACAUCAACUGAUUUUAGCGAAUAUACAAUCUGUAAUCCAUGAAAAGAGUAUUGUAUCGUAUGUAUAGUUAUACCCCCACCACAAAAUGGGGGGGGGGGGGCUAUAAUGGAUUCGCUUUGUCGCGUCGGUCGGUCGGUCGGUCCGUCCGUCGGUCGGUCCGUCUCCAUUUUCGUGUCCUCUCUAUAACUCCUAUACCAAUUGAAGGAUUUUCUUCAAACUUGGCUCAAAUGUUCAUCUCAACAAGGGGAUGUGCAGAACCCAUAUUGCCCAUGUGUCAGUUCAAGGUCAAGGUCACAAUUGAAGGUCAAAUAUCAAACACUAUCAAAUAUUACACAGUAUGUCGUGUCCGCUCUGUAAGUCCUACACUACUUGAAAGAUUUUCUUCAAACUUGGCUCAAAUGUUCACCUCAACCAGGGGAUGUGCAGAACCCAUGUCGCCCAUGUGUCAGCUCAAGGUCAAGGUCACAAUUGAAGGUCAAAUAUCAAACAAUUAAAUAUUACACAGUAUGUCGUGUCCGCUCUGUAAGUCCUACACUACUUGAAAGAUUUUCUUCAAACUUGGCUCAAAUGUUCACCUCAACAAGAGGAUGUGCAGAACUCAUGUUGCCCAUGUGCCAUCUCAAGGUCAAGGUCACAAUUGAAGGUCAAAUAUCAAACAAUCAAAUAUUACACAUUAUGUUGUGUCCGCUCUGUAAGUCCUACACUUAUUGAAAGAUUUUCUUCAAACUUGGCUCAAAUAUUCACCUCAACAAGGGGAUGUGCAGAAUCAAUGUUGUCCAUGUGUCAGCUCAAGGUCAAGGUCACAAUUGAAGGUCAAAUAUCAAACAAUCUAAUAUUACACAGUAUGUCAUGUCCGCUCUGUAAGUCCUACACUAAUUGAAAGAUUUUCUUCAAUCUUGGCUCAAAUGAUCAUCUCAACCAGGGGAUGUGCAGAACUUAUGUCACUUUUUUGCUGGCUUAAGGUCACGGUCACACUUUAAGGUCAAAAAUUGACUUACAAAAUAUUCUUAAAUUUUAACAUUUAUUUGAAUAUUUCUAAACCUAGAAAAGGUAUUUGCUUGAAACUUAAAAUAUUUUUGAAGGGUCACAAUUCCGAUAUGCUGUUCGUUCAAGUUUCAUAACUCUGUAUUGCAUUUUACCAAAGUUAUGCCCCUUUUUAAGUCUUCAAAUUUACAUACAAUCAAAUAUUAGAUAAUAUGUUGUGUCCGCUCUAUAAAUCCUAUACUAAUGGAAGAAUUUUCUUCAAACUUUACUCAAAUUUUCACCUCAACAAGGUUAUGUGCAGAAUCCAUGUCACCUUUGUGCCGGCUAAAGGUCAAGGUCACACUUGAAAGUAAAAAAAUGACUUAGAAAAUGUUCUUAAAUUUUAACAUAUACUUGAAUAAUUCUGAAACUAGCGCAGGCAUUUGCUUGAAACUUUAAAGAUAUAUGAGGUGUGGCAAAUAAGAUAUGCAGGUCAAGUUUCAUUACUCUGUAUUUCAUUUUUACAAAGUUAUGCCCCUUUUUAAGUCUUCAAAUUUACAUACAACCACUACUAGACAAUAUAUUGUGUCUACUCUAUAAAUUCUAUACUAUUGGAAGGAUUUUCUUCAAACUUUACUCAAAUGUUCAACCAAACUGGGUGAUUUGCAAAACCCAUCUUACCCUUGUGCCAAAUUAAGGUCAAGGCCACACUUGAAGGUCAAAAAUUGACUUAUAAAUAAAAUGUUUAAUACAUUGGGAAAAUGAAAGGUUAUUUGUAACUGUUUCGAACAUGAUUUGAUAAUAUAUAUUUAUACUAUUACCUGUACAAUUAGUCUUUUUUCACCAGAGAAAAUUUCUUUUUAUGUAUUUGUGCCACAUAAGUUAUUCCUUUAACCACCUUUCCAAGUGGUCUUCUGUCAAAGACAUUGGUGGGGGUAUGAAUCGCAUUCAGCGAUAGUUCUAGUUCAAAAUGUAAAAAAGUGUCAUAACUAUUUUAUUUAUAGCUUUACUAUCAAAUUCCGCUAUUAUCACAUUUUUUUUGCUGUUUAAUCAUGUUGAUAAUUUGUUAAUCAGAUAUGCAAUUGGUCACCAUUAUGCUACAUGUAUAAGCUGCAUUGAGAGUGACAUUAUAAUGAAGAAAUUUGAACAGAUUUUAUUUCUCAUUGUACACUUUUUUCAACACUCAUUGCGAUAUAUUGUUUGUGUUUAUUUUGUGUGUUGAUAAUGUCUAUAUUCACCUAGUUUAUAUUUCUGCGUAAUGUCACUUCUAUCACGCUGUUAUUUUCCACAAUUAUUUAACUGUGAUUUGAAGAGGUAGAAACAACACAACACUUAAGUUUUAUGUGUAACUGUCUUUUCUAUGUAUACUUUAUAAUAAUACUAUCACUGUUUUAUCAUAUUCUGCUGUCAAGUUCUGCUAAGUGUUAAGAAUAAAACUUGACACAAGUGGUUCAGUGUAUCAAACAGACCCCUUCUUCCAAAAGUCAAAGUCACACGUAAAAGCCAAAUUGUAAAAAAGUCAAUUCCAUGUCUGCUGCACAGCCUAUUGGCUACUCGGAAUGAUUUUUUUUAAAUAACGUGAAAUAAAUGAUAACCAAUAUAAUAUGAUGUGCAAGCCAUGUCACUAAGGUAAAGGUCACUAAAACUGUUUUAUUCUUAAGUAGAUUUUGAAUAAAUUGGGACCAAAUAAUCACUAUUACGCAAUCGAAGUACGCACGAAGUGCACAGAACAACAACAAUGUUUUUCCCAAAAUGUCAAGGUCUGUCAAAUGUUUAAAACCCACAUCCGUAUCUGCUUCGACAGGGGAUAAGGUUUUUUAAGACCGUCGUGUAUAAUAAGCUUCUCUUCGUAUUAUAUAUUCAUAUAAACAUUUUUCCACGUUGUCCAUACCAUUACUAACGACAAUUUGUUUAAGCUCACAGAGCUUAAGCACAAGGCAAAGGCCUGUCGAUCAGACGUCCGUAUUCCAUUUAAAAGUUCAUAGUCAUCAAACAUUUUAAGAAUAAGUAUCUAAGCGACUCCUCGAAAGAGGUUGAUGAUGGGUCAAAUGAAAGAAAUAUUUAACAAUCUAAAUAUUUUAAUUGUUUGUUAAUUUUUUAUUUGUCAAAACGGCGACAAAUAGGGGUCAAUUUCUCUUCGUCUGUCUGUUACAAGACAUGUGCAGACUAUCCUAAAAAACUACUAGUGCAAUUUCAUCCAAACUCAAAGUUCACAGGAAUGAUCAGUACCAAGUCUUGUUGUGUAUGUCGUCAGCGUUUUCCGGUUCAAUGAUUUGUGUCCCUUUAAUUAUUUGAUUUUUUUAAGGUUGAUAAGACUACUUCUCUUAUACCACUAAAGCAAUUUCAAUAAAACGUUACAAGGGUGUUCUGUAGCUCAAUUAUUUGUGCUUAUUACACGGGUUUUCUAGUUGAAUGAUUUUUAGCUGAGAAAUAGCACUUUAAUAAAAAUGUGUUUUGUGAUUCCAGCUACACUGAAUCUUGUCCGGACUACUUCUUAGAAACAACUGAUGCAGUGUCAUCCAAACUUUACAGGAAUGAUCAAUACUAAAGUCUAGUUGUGCAUAAAAUUGACUCAAAACUAGGUCACCAGGCUCAAGAAAAACCUUUUUUAUUGUCACAGAUUUGAUUUAACAUUCCUUUUAGAAAUGUAAAUGUAGUGAUAAAAGAAGGUUAAAAACAACUUCACCGGGUCAAAUUGAAGAAAAACAUUUAAUUUAACAAAGGUGAUAAAAGCCUUCGUUAAAAGUCUAGAGUAGAUUUGAUCUAUACUCCGGGCUAUCUUUGCAUGUUUAUAUCAAUGCAGGAGUUCGAAAAUUCAUCUAUGAUUAAAAAAUAGUUAUUAGAUAGAUUGAAUCAAUAAAAUCUUUGUUUUACAUUGUAAAAGUGGUCAUAAUUCUCAUUUGAUCAUCCAAGCUCAUCGGAAUUUUUUCUGCUUGAUAUUUUGGUAAGGUUAAAAAAAAUGACAUCAAAGGUUUAAAAAUGUAAGACAUGAAGACAAAUGAAGGAAAACCUUGGACUCACAGUUUUCUUUUAAAUCAUAUUACAUGUACACAUCGCACUUUUCGUAUUAGUGUCUUAUUAAGUCUUGACAAUAUUAAAGUUUGGUACACUGUGGUCAAAACUUGGGUCGCAAUAUCAAAUUCUUGAUCAAAUUCUUGAGGCCUUAUAGAAGAAACAAUUUUAAUUGAAUCUUAUAAUUGUAUUUUGCAAAUACGAAUAAGUGUUUAGAUAAAACUUUACAAUAACACUAUGGUGAGCGAACAAAAGUCAACAUUUUCCUUAUGUAUUGCAAAGAUAUUGAUUAAUUUUCUGAGUAAUGGGUUGGCAUUUUCAGAAUUUUGAUUUGUAUAGUCUAGUUUGAUUCAAUAUUUAAAAUUAUUGCUAUAUCGUCUAGUAUUUUAAUUAUGAUGGCUUCUUCAUUUCUUAUGCAUCUGUGUAAAUUGAUUAAAUUGAAGGAUGCAAAUUUCUCAGUCUGUGUCAAUAACUUUAUAAUCAGAAGAGUGAGUGAGUUUUACAGGAAAAAUGAACAGUUUUGUUUUAUCCAAUAAACAGAUAUAAAUGAUAAA